rnacentral:rRNA from 1 species
AGUGAACGCUGGCGGUAGGCCUAACACAUGCAAGUCGAACGGCAGCACAGAGGAGCUUGCUCCUUGGGUGGCGAGUGGCGGACGGGUGAGGAAUACAUCGGAAUCUACUCUGUCGUGGGGGAUAACGUAGGGAACCUUACGCUAAUACCGCAUACGACCUACGGGUGAAAGCAGGGGAUCUUCGGACCUUGCGCGAUUGAAUGAGCCGUUGUCGGAUUAGCUAGUUGGCGGGGUAAAGGCACACCAAGGCGACGUGCCGUAGCUGGUCUGAGAGGAUGAUCAGCCACACUGGAACUGAGACACGGUCCAGACUCCUACGGGAGGCAGCAGUGGGGAAUAUUGGACAAUGGGCGCAAGCCUGAUCCAGCCAUACCGCGUGGGUGAAGAAGGCCUUCGGGUUGUAAAGCCCUUUUGUUGGGAAAGAAAUCCAUCUGGUUAAUACCCGGGUGGGAUGACGGUACCCAAAGAAUAAGCACCGGCUAACUUCGUGCCAGCCGCCGCCGUAAAAC